CUCAUUCUUUAGCUCUCUAUGAAAGUAAAAUUUAGUUUUUUACUUUCAACAAGUUAGGUCAUAAUUUUUUUUUAAAUUCCUCUUUGAAAUAUAUAUAUAUAUAUAAUAUAGAUCCAAAACUCUUGUGGGUUUUUAACUUGAUGUUUUAUGUUAGUUUUUUAGGACAAGAUUAGGGUUUUUGUACAUGUUGACUUGAUAUAUUUUGUGUUAUGGGAGUGGAGCUCCUUGAAGUCCAACAGAAGAUCUAACAGGCUUCUGAAGAAAUGUUGGAUUUGGAUUUGAAGUCUUUCAGCGCAGCUUUUAACGUUUGUCUAGAUUUGAGAUGUGGAAGAAAAUAUUUUAGAAACUGAAUUUUUACAGUUGUGUAAAUUGGGAAAUACUUAUUUGUUUUUACUUUGUGUACAUAUUAGUUUUGUUGAAUAAAAUAAAGUGAAAUCCUUAAUA